GACGAACGCUGGCGGCGUGCCUAAUACAUGCAAGUUGAGCGCUGAAGGUUGGUACUUGUACCAACUGGAUGAGCAGCGAACGGGUGAGUAACGCGUGGGGAAUCUGCCUUUGAGCGGGGGACAACAUUUGGAAACGAAUGCUAAUACCGCAUAAAAACUUUAAACACAAGUUUUAAGUUUGAAAGAUGCAAUUGCAUCACUCAAAGAUGAUCCCGCGUUGUAUUAGGUAGUUGGUGAGGUAAAGGCUCACCAAGGCGAUGAUACAUAGCCGACCUGAGAGGGUGAUCGGCCACAUUGGGACUGAGACACGGCCCAAACUCCUACGGGAGGGAGCCGUAGGGAAUCUUCGGCAAUGGACGAAAGUCUGACCGAGCAACGCCGCGUGAGUGAAGAAGGUUUUCGGAUCGUAAAACUCUGUUGGUAGAGAAGAACGUUGGUGAGAGUGGAAAGCUCAUCAAGUGACGGUAACUACCCAGAAAGGGACGGCUAACUACGUG
rnacentral:rRNA from 1 species